rnacentral:rRNA from 1 species
CCCUAUGGGGCGCAGCAGGAAGUCGCCCGCCAAACCUACCGCCUGCGGCUGGAGGUUCCCCGUAUGGCCGGGGCCGCCCGCGCCGGGCAGUUUUUCAUGCUCCAGGUGCGGGCGGGGAUGGACCCACUCCUGCGGCGCCCGUUCUCUUUUCACCGGAUCCUCCCCGCGGAGGGGAUCGUGGAAGUGCUUUACCGGGUGGUGGGGAAGGGCACGUGGUGGCUGUCGCGGUGUGCCCCCGGUGCCCGGCUGAGCCUUCUCGGGCCCCUGGGAAACGGAUUCGAGCUGCCGCCGACCGCCGCCGGCCGCUCCGUUGUGGUUGUUGCCGGAGGCAUCGGCGUCGCCCCCCUGCAGGAGCUCAUCCAGCAGCUUUUGGCGAAAGGAAUGGGCGGGGGAGC